GCUCACUUAGCUUAGUGGAAGAGCGCUUCCUUCACACGGAAGAGGUCAGAAGUUCGAAUCUUCUAGUGAGCACCA
rnacentral:tRNA from 1 species